rnacentral:rRNA from 1 species
GACGAACGCUGGCGGCGUGCUUAACACAUGCAAGUCGAACGAUGAAGCCUAGCUUGCUAGGUGGAUUAGUGGCGAACGGGUGAGUAAUACGUGAGUAACCUACCUUUAACUCUGGGAUAAGCCUGGGAAACUGGGUCUAAUACCGGAUACGACCAAUCUCCGCAUGGGGUGUUGGUGGAAAGCGUUAUGUAGUGGUUAUAGAUGGGCUCACGGCCUAUCAGCUUGUUGGUGAGGUAACGGCUCACCAAGGCGACGACGGGUAGCCGGCCUGAGAGGGUGACCGGCCACACUGGGACUGAGACACGGCCCAGACUCCUACGGGAGGCAGCAGUGGGGAAUAUUGCACAAUGGGCGCAAGCCUGAUGCAGCGACGCCGCGUGAGGGAUGACGGCCUUCGGGUUGUAAACCUCUGUUAGCAGGGAAGAAGAGAGAUUGACGGUACCUGCAGAGAAAGCGCCGGCUAACUACGUGCCAGCAGCCGCGGUAAUACGUAGGGCGCGAGCGUUGUCCGGAAUUAUUGGGCGUAAAGAGCUUGUAGGCGGUUUGUCGCGUCUGCUGUGAAAGGCCGGGGCUUAACCCCGUGUAUUGCAGUGGGUACGGGCAGACUAGAGUGCAGUAGGGGAGACUGGAAUUCCUGGUGUAGCGGUGGAAUGCGCAGAUAUCAGGAGGAACACCGAUGGCGAAGGCAGGUCUCUGGGCUGUAACUGACGCUGAGAAGCGAAAGCAUGGGGAGCGAACAGGAUUAGAUACCCUGGUAGUCCAUGCCGUAAACGUUGGGCACUAGGUGUGGGGGACAUUCCACGUUUUCCGCGCCGUAGCUAACGCAUUAAGUGCCCCGCCUGGGGAGUACGGCCGCAAGGCUAAAACUCAAAGAAAUUGACGGGGGCCCGCACAAGCGGCGGAGCAUGCGGAUUAAUUCGAUGAUACGCGAGGAACCUUACCCGGGAUUGAAAUGUAGAUGACCGCUCCUGAAAGGGAGUUUUCCUUCGGGACAUCUAUGUAGGUGCUGCAUGGUUGUCGUCAGCUCGUGCCGUGAGGUGUCGGCUUAAGUGCCAUAACGAGCGCAACCCCUGUCUACGGUUGCCGUCAGGUAAUGCUGGGAACUCCGUAGAGACUGCCGUCGUAAGGCGUGAGGAAGGUGGGGAUGACGUCAAAUCAGCACGGCCCUUACAUCCGGGGCGACACACGUGUUACAAUGGUAAGGACAAAGGGCAGCUACCUGGCGACAGGAUGCGAAUCUCNUAACUUUAUCACAGUUCGAAUCGGAGUCUGCAACUCGACUCCGUGAAGCUGGAUUCGCUAGUAAUCGCGCAUCAGCCAUGGCGCGGUGAAUACGUUCCCGGGGCU